GAACAAACGCUGGCGGCGUGUCUUAAGCAUGCAAGUUGAGCGGCAAGGAGGAGAGAUCCUCCCUAGAGCAGCGGACUGGUGAGUAACGCGUGGGUAAUCUAUCUUAGGCAUGGGGAUAGUCACUAGAAAUAGUGGGUAAUACCGAAUAAGUUCCAUAAGGGGAGGACUUAUGGAAGAAAGGUGCUACGGCACUGGCCUUAGGUGAGCUCGCGUCCCAUUAGCUAGUUGGUGAGGUAAAGGCCCACCAAGGCGAUGAUGGGUAGCCGGCCUGAGAGGGUGUACGGCCACACUGGGACUGAGAUACGGCCCAGACUCCUACGGGAGGCAGCAGCUAAGAAUAUUCCGCAAUGGACGGAAGUCUGACGGAGCGACGCCGCGUGGAUGAAGAAGGCCGAAAGGUUGUAAAGUUCUUUUGCUAGGGGAGAAUAAGUGUGGGAGGGAAUGCCUGCACGAUGACAAGGACUAGCGAAUAAGUCCCGGCCAACUACGUGCCAGCAGCCGCGGUAACACGUAGGGGGCGAGCGUUGUUCGGAAUUACUGGGCGUAAAGGGCAUGUAGGCGGCUUGGUAAGCCUGGCGUGAAAGUCUGCAGCUUAACUGUAGGGAUGCGUUGGGAACUGCUUAGCUUGAGUUACGGAGAGGGAGCUGGAAUUCUCGGUGUAGCGGUGAUAUGCGUAGAUAUCGAGAAGAACACCAGCGGCGUAAGCGGCUCUCUAUCCUGAAACUGACGCUGAGGUGCGAAAGCCAGGGGAGCGAACGGGAUUAGAUACCCCGGUAGUCCUGGCCAUAAACGAUGUGCACUUGGUGUUGGGCCGCGAGGCUCAGUGCCGAAGCUAACGCAUUAAGUGCACCGCCUGGGGAGUACGACCGCAAGGUUGAAACUCAAAGGAAUUGACGGGGGCCCGCACAAGCGGUGGAGCAUGUGGCUUAAUUCGACGCAACGCGAAGAACCUUACCGGGGUUUGACAUGCAGCUGCUCAUCCUGCGAAAGCAGGACUCCUUCGAGGGUGCUGCACAGGUGCUGCAUGGCUGUCGUCAGCUCGUGCCGUGAGGUGUUGGGUUAAGUCCCGCAACGAGCGCAACCCUUGUCCUUAGUUGCUAACACGAAAGGUGAGCACUCUAAGGAGACUGCCCCAGUCAAUGGGGAGGAAGGUGGGGAUGACGUCAAGUCAUCAUGGCCCUUAUAUCCCGGGCUGCACACGUGCUACAAUGGCCGGUACAAUGGGUAGCGACACCGCGAGGUGGAGCCAAUCUCAAAAACCGGUCUCAGUUCGGAUUGAAGUCUGCAACUCGACUUCAUGAAGCUGGAAUCGCUAGUAAUGGCGGAUCAGCUACGCCGCCGUGAAUACGUUCCCGGGCCU
rnacentral:rRNA from 1 species